UUUUGGCUAAUUGGUGCAUAUUCAGGUAUCACCUUUCACGUGUGGAUCUCUCUCCUGACCACCAUGGGAAGUGUCUGCCAGAUUCCAUUUUCUAAGAGUUUCUGAGGCAAAACUCCAUUUGGAUGAAAGAUGAAUUUGGAUAUUUAUUUCCCCUUUUCUUUGGGAAAUGAGAGGUUACAACCAGGACAGUGAAUCUCGCACGCACACAUGCGCGCACAGACACACGCGCAUCCACGGAAACGCAGGGUCCUCUCUGGGCCGCCAAGGGGAGUCGACGCGGUUGAGAACGAAUGCAGAGGACACCGAAUCUGUCGUUCGUUUUUUCUCUGAAGUGCCUGAAGGUAGGAAUGGGCCAGGGUUGGGGACUGAUCGCCCCCCGCCUCCGCCACGGCCUCGUCAGUCAGCGCGCCAGCGGCCCCGCACCCGGUCCCCGCCAGCCAGGAAGGCCUUCCACGCGGGGUGAUGAGACUGCAAAAAUCCAGAUGUGCUUCCUUCCCCGAAGCGGCCCGCUCCUCGGAGCCCCUCCUUCCCACCCCGUCCUGCACCCCUCGCCCUCCUUCCACCGCAGAAUCUAAGACCUUUCAGCCGCAGCCGAGCCAGGGGCGGGGGAGCCUAAGCAAAUGCCUUCUGCGGACACCGGGCCCCGCCGCCCAAAGGGCUCCCAGGGCAAACUCAUUCCCCGACAAACUUGAACUUGGGGACGCUGCAGCUACACAUUCCACAAAGUGCUGGCACUUACACCCAUAACCCGAAGGCAGUAGACUGCCUCACAGGGUGGUGACCUCCCAUUGCAAACGAAGUCAUGGUUUGGAAUGUUCGUUAUCAGCCAAGGACCUGGUUAGAGGUAUUCAGACCUUUUUUCACCGUUACCUAAUUUUUGUUUCUCCUUUCGGUUUUGUUUUGUUUUGUUUUGGUGUGUUGUACAGCAGUAUAAUUUUUCACUUAUUUAUUCCAUCAGUAGAUAUGGUUUGUACAAUGUACAAUGGUUCCAUUUCAGAAAAUAAAAAAAAAAUUCAAAUCGUGAA